CAAUAGCGGACCGACUGAAUGCAACAAAUGUGACUGGGCAAAAAUGAACCUGGCAACAAGUCAAGAUCAAAUAUAAAAACUGUUUGCAGGCUGCAGUUAGAAGACUCAUUUGUCUGGCACUG